GACGAACGCUGGCGGCGUGCCUAAUACAUGCCAGUUGAGCGCUGAAGGUUGGUACUUGUACCAACUGGAUGAGCAGCAAACGGGUGAGUAACGCGUGGGGAAUCUGCCUUUGAGCGGGGGACAACAUUUGGAAACGAAUGCUAAUACCGCAUAAAAACUUUAAACACAAGUUUUAAGUUUGAAAGAUGCAAUUGCAUCACUCAAAGAUGAUCCCGCGUUGUAUUAGCUAGUUGGUGAGGUAAAGGCUCACCAAGGCGAUGAUACAUAGCCGACCUGAGAGGGUGAUCGGCCACAUUGGGACUGAGACACGGCCCAAACUCCUACGGGAGGCAGCAGUAGGGAAUCUUCGGCAAUGGACGAAAGUCUGACCGAGCAACGCCGCGUGAGUGAAGAAGGUUUUCGGAUCGUAAAACUCUGUUGGUAGAGAAGAACGUUGGUGAGAGUGGAAAGCUCAUCAAGUGACGGUAACUACCCAGAAAGGGACGGCUAACUACGUG
rnacentral:rRNA from 1 species